CCUACGGGUGGCAGCAGUGAGGAAUAUUGGUCAAUGGACGAGAGUCUGAACCAGCCAAGUAGCGUGAAGGAUGACUGCCCUAUGGGUUGUAAACCUCUUUUAUAAGGGAAUAAAACGAGGCACGUGUGCCUUUUUGCAUGUACCUUAUGAAUAAGGAUUGGCUAACUCCGUGCCAGCAGCCGCGGUAAUACGGAGGAUGCGAGCGUUAUCCGGAUUUAUUGGGUUUAAAGGGUGCGUAGGCGGUAUGUUAAGUCAGCGGUAAAAGCCCGGGGCUCAACCCCGGCGAGCCGUUGAGACUGGCUGUCUUGAGAUGGCGAGAGGUAUGCGGAAUGCGCGGUGUAGCGGUGAAAUGCUUAGAUAUCACGCAGAACUCCGAUUGCGAAGGCAGCAUACCGGCGGCGAACUGACGCUGAGGCACGAAAGCGUGGGUAUCGAACAGGAUUAGAUACCCGAGUAGUC
rnacentral:rRNA from 1 species